rnacentral:rRNA from 1 species
GACGAACGCUGGCGGCGUGCUUAACACAUGCAAGUCGAACGGAAAGGCCCUGCUUUUGUGGGGUGCUCGAGUGGCGAACGGGUGAGUAACACGUGAGUAACCUGCUCUUGACUUUGGGAUAACUUCAGGAAACUGGGGCUAAUACCGGAUAGGAGCUCCUGCUGCAUGGUGGGGGUUGGAAAGUUUCGGCGGUUGGGGAUGGACUCGCGGCUUAUGAGCUUGUUGGUGGGGUAGUGGCUUACCAAGGCUUUGACGGGUAGCCGGCCUGAGAGGGUGACCGGCCACAGUGGGACUGGGAUACGGCCCAGACUCCAACGGGGGGCAGCGGUGGAGAAUAUUGCACAAUGGGCGGAGGCCGGAAGCAGCACCGCCGGGUGCGGGAUGCCGGCCUUCGGGUUGUAAACCGCUUUCGCCUGUGACGAAGCGUGAGUGACGGUAAUAGGUAAAGAAGCACCGGCUAACUACGU